AAAACUUUCACAACGGAUCUCUUGGUUCUGGCAUCGAUGAAGAACGCAGCGAAAUGCGAUAAGUAAUGUGAAUUGCAGAAUUCAGUGAAUCAUCGAAUCUUUGAACGCACAUUGCGCCCCUCGGUAUUCCGGGGGGCAUGCCUGUUCGAGCGUCAUU
rnacentral:rRNA from 1 species